AGCCCUGGAAACGGGGUCUAAUACCGGAUAACACCGGCUUCCGCAUGGGAGCUGGUUGAAAGCUCCGGCGGUGAAGGAUGAGCCCGCGGCCUAUCAGCUUGUUGGUGGGGUAAUGGCCUACCAAGGCGACGACGGGUAGCCGGCCUGAGAGGGCGACCGGCCACACUGGGACUGAGACACGGCCCAGACUCCUACGGGAGGCAGCAGUGGGGAAUAUUGCACAAUGGGCGAAAGCCUGAUGCAGCGACGCCGCGUGAGGGAUGACGGCCUUCGGGUUGUAAACCUCUUUCAGCAGGGAAGAAGCGAAAGUGACGGUACCUGCAGAAGAAGCGCCGGCUAACUACGUGCCAGCAGCCGCGGUAAUACGUAGGGCGCAAGCGUUGUCCGGAAUUAUUGGGCGUAAAGAGCUCGUAGGCGGCUUGUCACGUCGGGUGUGAAAGCCCGGGGCUUAACCCCGGGUCUGCAUCCCGGAUACGGGCAGGACUAGAGUGUGGUAGGGGAGAUCGGAAUUCCUGGUGUAGCGGUGAAAUGCGCAGAUAUCAGGAGGAACACCGGUGGCGAAGGCGGAUCUCUGGGUCCAUUACUGACGCUGAGGAGCGAAAGCGUGGGGAGCGAACAGGAUUAGAUACCCUGGUAGUCCACGCCGUAAACGUUGGGAACUAGGUGUUGGCGACAUUCCACGUCGUCGGUGCCGCAGCUAACGCAUUAAGUUCCCCGCCUGGGGAGUACGGCCGCAAGGCUAAAACUCAAAGGAAUUGACCGGGGCCCGCACAAGCAGCGGAGCAUGUGGCUUAAUUCGACGCAACGCGAAGAACCUUACCAAGGCUUGACAUAUACCGGAAAGCAUUAGAGAUAGUGCCCCCCUUGUGGUCGGUAUACAGGUGGUGCAUGGCUGUCGUCAGCUCGUGUCGUAGAGAUGUUGGGUUAAGUCCCGCAACGAGCGCAACCCUUGUCCUGUGUUGCCAGCAUGCCCUUCGGGGUGAUGGGGACUCACAGGAGACCGCCGGGGUCAACUCGGAGGAAGGUGGGGACGACGUCAAGUCAUCAUGCCCCUUAUGUCUUGGGCUGCACACGUGCUACAAUGGCCGGUACAAAGAGCUGCGAUGCCGCGAGGCGGAGCGAAUCUCAAAAAGCCGGUUUCAGUUCGGAUUGGGGUUCGCAACUCGCCGCCAUGAAGUCCGAGGUAGCAGUAAUGGCAGAUC
rnacentral:rRNA from 1 species